GACGAACGCUGGCGGCGUGCUUAACACAUGCAAGUCGAGCGGAAAGGCCCUUCGGGGUACUCGAGCGGCGAACGGGUGAGUAACACGUGAGUAACCUGCCCUUGGCUUUGGGAUAACCCUCGGAAACGGGGGCUAAUACCGAAUAUGAUCACUGAUCGCAUGGUUGGUGGUGUAAAGUUUUUCGGCCAGGGAUGGGCUCGCGGCCUAUCAGUUUGUUGGUGGGGUGAUGGCCUACCAAGACCANGACGGGUAGCCGGCCUGAGAGGGCGACCGGCCACACUGGGACUGAGACACGGCCCAGACUCCUACGGGAGGCAGCAGUGGGGAAUAUUGCACAAUGGGCGAAAGCCUGAUGCAGCGACG
rnacentral:rRNA from 1 species